rnacentral:rRNA from 1 species
UACGAGGGGGGCGAGCGUUGUUCGGAAUUAUUGGGCGUAAAGGGUGCGUAGGCGGUUUGGUAAGUCUUAUGUGAAAUCUACAGGCUCAACUUGUAGUCUGCAUGAGAAACUGCCGGGCUUGAGUAUGGGAGAGGUGAGUGGAAUUCCUGGUGUAGCGGUGAAAUGCGUAGAUAUCAGGAGGAACACCUGUGGCGAAAGCGGCUCACUGGAUCACAACUGACGCUGAGGCGCGAAAGCUAGGGGAGCAAACAGG